UACGGAGGAGGCAAGCGUUAUCCGGAAUUAUUGGGCGUAAAGCGUCCGCAGGUGGCGAUUCAAGUCUGCGGUCAAAGACUGGGGCUUAACCCUGGAAAGGCCGUGGAAACUGAAAAGCUAGAGUGCAGUAGGGGUAGAGGGAAUUCCCGGUGUAGCGGUGAAAUGCGUAGAGCUCGGGAAGAACAUCGGUGGCGAAAGCGCUCUGCUGGACUGCAACUGACACUCAGGGACGAAAGCUAGGGGAGUGAAUGGG
rnacentral:rRNA from 1 species